rnacentral:rRNA from 1 species
AUGGACGGUGGCAGUGGAUUGAAUAUAUUAUAUGCCGAGGCCCUCCAGGGGAUGGGCAUUCCGAUGUCCAAGCUUAGUGAGAGCAACAUGAGAUUCCAUGGUGUCAUCCCAGGAAAGAAAGCUGAUUCACUCAGUCAGAUCACUCUUGAUGUGGUUUUCGGUGAUUCAAAGAACUACCGCAAGGAAAAGUUGACGUUUGAGGUAGUGGAUUUUGACAGUGCCUAUCAUGCCAUUCUGGGAAGACUUGCUUAUGCUAGUUUCAUGGCUCGACCAUGCUACAUGUACCUCAAGUUGAAAAUGCCUGGCCUCGGUGGCGUGACCAUAGUCACUGGAAAUUGGCAGAGAGCAGAAGAUUAUCUCCAUAAAGGUUCAAAGAUCACCGACGAACAGAUGGCAGCAGUAGAGUUUCAAGAAUACCAGAAGAAUGCAGAUCCGAGUGAUUUCUUGCGUGCCAAAAUGCCUGCCACUGAGUUUGCAUUUCAGUCGGACGGCGAAACCAAACCGGUUCACAUUCACCCGACCGAUCCCAAUGCUGCUCCGACUCAUAUCUCAACAACACUCGACAGAAAAUAG